ACACGUUGCAUUUCAUCCAAAUUACACAUAGUUAGCAAGUCAUCCAAAUUACACAUAGGUGUAUGUCAUCCAAAUUACACAUAGGUAGUAUGUCAUCCAAAUUACACGUAGGUAGUAAGUCAUCCAAAUUACACAUAGGUAGUAUGUCAUCCAAAUUACACAUAGGUAGUAUGUCAUCCAAAUUACACAUAGGUAGUAAGUCAUCCAAAUUACACAUAGGUAGUAAGUCAUCCAAAUUACACAUAGGUAGUAUGUCAUCCAAAUUACACAUAGGUAGUAUGUCAUCCAAAUUACACAUAGGUAGUAUGUCAUCCAAAUUACACGUAGGUAGUAAGUCAUCCAAAUUACACAUAGGUAGUAUGUCAUCCAAAUUACACAUAGGUAGUAUGUCAUCCAAAUUACACAUAGGUAGUAAGUCAUCCAAAUUACACAUAGGUAGUAAGUCAUCCAAAUUACACAUAGGUAGUAUGUCAUCCAAAUUACACAUAGGUAGUAUGUCAUCCAAAUUACACAUAGGUAGUAUGUCAUCCAAAUUACACAUAGGUAGUAAGUCAUCCAAAUUACACAUAGGUAGUAUGUCAUCCAAAUUACACAUAGGUAGUAUGCCAUCCUAAUUACACGUAGGUAGUAUUUCAUCCAAAUUACACGUAGGUAGUGUGUCAUCCAAAUUACACGUAGGUAUUAUUUCAUCCAAAUUACACGUAGGUAGUUUGUCAUCCUAAUUACACGUAGGUAGCAUAUCAUCCUAAUUACACGUAGGUAGUAUGUCAUCCUAAUUACACGUAGGUAGUAUUUCAUCCUAAUUACACGUAGGUAGUAUGUCAUCCUAAUUACACGUAGGUAGUAUGUCAUCCUAAUUACACGUAGGUAGUAUGUCAUCCUAAUUACACGUAGGUAGUAUGUCAUCCUAGUUACACGUAGGUAGUAUGCCAUCCUAAUUACACGUAGGUAGUAUUUUAUCCAAAUUACACGUAGGUAGUGUGUCAUCCAAAUUACACGUAGGUAGUAUUUCACCCAAAUUACACGUAGGUAGUAUGUCAUCCUAGUUACACGUAGUAGUAUGCCAUCCUAAUUACACGUAGGUAGUAUUUUAUCCAAAUUACACGUAGGUAGUGUGUCAUCCAAAUUACACGUAGGUAGUAUUUCACCCAAAUUACACGUAGGUAGUAUUUUAUCCAAAUUACACGUAGGUAGUGUGUCAUCCAAAUUACACGUAGGUAGUGUGUCAUCCAAAUUACACGUAGGUAGUAUUUCACCCAAAUUACAGGUAGGUAGUAUUUUAUCCAAAUUACACGUAGGUAGUGUGUCAUCCAAAUUACACGUAGGUAGUAUUUCACCCAAAUUACACGUAGGUAGUAUGUCAUCCAAAUUACACGUAGGUAGUAUGUCAUCCAAAUUACACGUAGGUAGUAUGUCAUCCAAAUUACACGUAGGUAGUAUGUCAUCCAAAUUACACGUAGGUAUUAUUUCAUCCAAAUUACACGUAGGUAGUAUGUCAUCCAAAUUACACGUAGGUAUUAUUUCAUCCAAAUUACACGUAGGUAAUAUUUCAUCCAAAUUACACGUAGGUAGUAUGUCAUCCUAAUUACACGUAGGUAGUGUGUCAUCCAAAUUACACGUAGGUAGUAUUUCACCCAAAUUACACGUAGGAAGUAUUUCAUCCAAAUUACACAUAGGUAGUAUGUCAUCCAAAUUACACAUAGGUAGUAAGUCAUCCAAAUUACACAUAGGUAGUAAGUCAUCCAAAUUACACAUAGGUAGUAUGUCAUCCAAAUUACACAUAGGUAGUAUGUCAUCCUAGUUACACGUAGGUAGUAUGCCAUCCUAAUUACACGUAGGUAGUAUUUUAUCUAAAUUACACGUAGGUAGUGUGUCAUCCAAAUUACACGUAGGUAGUAUUUCACCCAAAUUACACGUAGGUAGUAUUUCAUCCAAAUUACACAUAGGUAGUAUGUCAUCCAAAUUACACAUAGGUAGUAAGUCAUCCAAAUUACACAUAGGUAGUAAGUCAUCCAAAUUACACAUAGGUAGUAUGUCAUCCAAAUUACACAUAGGUAGUUUGUCAUCCAAAUUACACGUAGGUAGUAUGCCAUCCUAAUUACACGUAGGUAGUAUUUCAUCCAAAUUACACGUAGGUAGUGUGUCAUCCAAAUUACACGUAGGUAUUAUUUCAUCCAAAUUACACGUAGGUAGUUUGUCAUCCUAAUUACACGUAGGUAGUAUAUCAUCCUAAUUACACGUAGGUAGUAUGUCAUCCAAAUUACACGUA